UACGUAGGGUGCGAGCGUUGUCCGGAAUUAUUGGGCGUAAAGAGCUUGUAGGCGGUUUGUCGCGUCUGCUGUGAAAUCUCAAGGCUCAACCUUGAGCUUGCAGUGGGUACGGGCAGACUAGAGUGUGGUAGGGGGAGACUGGAAUUCCUGGUGUAGCGGUGAGAUGCGCAGAUAUCAGGAGGAACACCGAUGGCGAAGGCAGGUCUCUGGGCAUUAACUGACGCUGAGGAGCGAAAAGCAUGGGGAGCGAACAGG
rnacentral:rRNA from 1 species